UGCGUAGGCGGCUUGAUAAGUCAGAGGUGAAAGGCUACAGCUCAACUGUAGAAUUGCCUUUGAUACUGUCGAGCUUGAAUCAGGUUGAGGUUGGCGGAAUGUGGCAUGUAGCGGUGAAAUGCAUAGAUAUGCCAUAGAACACCAAUUGCGAAGGCAGCUGACUGGACCUGGAUUGACGCUGAGGCACGAAAGCGUGGGGAGCGAACAGGAUUAGAUACCCUGGUAGUC
rnacentral:rRNA from 1 species